UACGUAGGGGGCAAGCGUUGUCCGGAAUCAUUGGGCGUAAAGAGCGUGUAGGCGGCCCGAUAAGUCCGCUGUGAAAGUCCAGGGCUCAACCCUGGAAUGCCGGUGGAUACUGUCGGGCUCGAAUCCGGAAGAGGUGAGUGGAAUUCCUGGUGUAGCGGUGAAAUGCGUAGAUAUCAAGAGGAACACCUGAGGUGAAGACGGGUUGCUGGGCUGACACUGACGCUGAGGCGCGAAAGCUAGGGGAGCAAACGGG
rnacentral:rRNA from 1 species